rnacentral:rRNA from 1 species
AACGAACGCUGGCGGCAGGCUUAACACAUGCAAGUCGAGCGCCCCGCAAGGGGAGCGGCAGACGGGUGAGUAACGCGUGGGAAUCUACCCAUCUCUACGGAAUAACGCAUGGAAACGUGUGCUAAUACCGUAUACGUCCUUCGGGAGAAAGAUUUAUCGGAGAUGGAUGAGCCCGCGUUGGAUUAGCUAGUUGGUGGGGUAAAGGCCUACCAAGGCGACGAUCCAUAGCUGGUCUGAGAGGAUGAUCAGCCACACUGGGACUGAGACACGGCCCAGACUCCUACGGGAGGCAGCAGGGGGGAAUAUUGGACAAUGGGCGUAAGCCUGAUCCAGCCAUGCCGCGCGAGUGAUGAAGGCCCUAGGGUUGUAAAGCGCUUUCACCGGUGAAGAUAAUGACGGUAACCGGAGAAGAAGCCCCGGCUAACUUCGUGCCAGCAGCCGCAGUAAAAC